rnacentral:misc_RNA from 1 species
GAAAAAAACAACAACAGAAAGAUCGACCUCGAAAACGUGGACGAUCAAAUCCAUACCCACCUUGUGUGCACUCAUUGACCGUUCGCUUUGGCAGGAGGAGCCUUCGAUCCCUGAUCGAAGAGCGCGAGGGUCGAUACCCUCGGCCUGCCAGAGUUUUUCUUCUUCUUGAACUUCUUUUCCUUUUGGACUGAACCCUCGUCUCGAUUCUCCUUGUAAUCGGUCGAACCAAUA